rnacentral:ribozyme from 1 species
CACACCCAGCGUUACGAGUGCUGUUAUUGAAAGCAUUGAUCGCUUUGGUAUUGCAAACUGCUCCGCGGCGCUUGAGGCUGGACAGACAAGCGUGAUCAGUGAGUUGGAGGAGGCAGUGGCUAAUUUUGUUGGCAAGG